UACGUAGGGUGCAAGCGUUAAUCGGAAUUAUUGGGCGUAAAGAGCUCGUAGGCGGUUUGUCGCGUCUGCUGUGAAAACCCGAGGCUCAACCUCGGGCCUGCAGUGGGUACGGGCAGACUAGAGUGCGGUAGGGGAGAUUGGAAUUCCUGGUGUAGCGGUGGAAUGCGCAGAUAUCAGGAGGAACACCAAUGGCGAAGGCAGAUCUCUGGGCCGUAACUGACGCUGAGGAGCGAAAGCAUGGGGAGCGAACAGG
rnacentral:rRNA from 1 species